GAUGAAGAACGUAGCGAAAUGCGAUAAGUAGUGUGAAUUGCAGAAUUCAGUGAAUCAUCGAAUCUUUGAACGCACAUUGCGCCCUUUGGUAUUCCUUAGGGCAUGCCUGUUCGAGCGUCAUUCAAACCUUCAAGCUCAGCUUGGUGUUGGGUGACUGUCCGCUUCACCGCGGACUCGCCUCAAAAUUAUUGGCGGCCGGUACAUUGGCUUCGAGCGCAGCAGAAACGCGAACUCGGGCCCGUCGUAUUGGCUCCCAGAAGCUAUCUUCACAAUUUUGACCUCGGAUCAGGUAGGGAUACCCGCUGAACUUAAGCAUAUCAAUAAGCGGAGGA
rnacentral:misc_RNA from 1 species